rnacentral:rRNA from 1 species
UACGGGGGGGGCAAGCGUUGUCCGGAAUUACUGGGCGUAAAGCGCGUGUAGGCGGUCUGAAUAGUCUGCUGUGAAAGCGCCUGGCUUAACCGGGCGAGGUCGGCGGAAACUCUCAGACUGGAGGCCGGUAGAGGGGCGUGGAAUUCCGGGUGGAGCGGUGAAAUGCGUAGAGAUCGGGAGGAACACCCGUGGCGAAGGCGGCCAACUGGGCCGACCCUGACGCUGAGGCGCGAAGGCGUGGGGAGCGAACGGG